CCUACGGGAGGCAGCAGUGGGGAAUUUUGGACAAUGGGCGAAAGCCUGAUCCAGCAAUGCCGCGUGAGUGAAGAAGGCCUUCGGGUUGUAAAGCUCUUUUGUCAGGGAAGAAACGGUGAGAGCUAAUAUCUCUUGCUAAUGACGGUACCUGAAGAAUAAGCACCGGCUAACUACGUGCCAGCAGCCGCGGUAAUACGUAGGGUGCAAGCGUUAAUCGGAAUUACUGGGCGUAAAGCGUGCGCAGGCGGUUUUGUAAGUCUGAUGUGAAAUCCCCGGGCUCAACCUGGGAAUUGCAUUGGAGACUGCAAGGCUAGAAUCUGGCAGAGGGGGGUAGAAUUCCACGUGUAGCAGUGAAAUGCGUAGAUAUGUGGAGGAACACCGAUGGCGAAGGCAGCCCCCUGGGUCAAGAUUGACGCUCAUGCACGAAAGCGUGGGGAGCAAACAGGAUUAGAUACCCUGGUAGUCCACGCCCUAAACGAUGUCUACUAGUUGUCGGGUCUUAAUUGACUUGGUAACGCAGCGACGACGUGAGUAGACCGCCGUCGGGUAGGUUGGNGGUCGGCGAAGAAGUUAAACGUUACGAAGAGAGUUAGACGGCGUUGAGACGUUGCCGACGGACGACGACGAGGGAGGAGG
rnacentral:rRNA from 1 species